CAACCAUAUUGCGUUGAUACACCGGUUAUCCCACGAUCACCGAAGUUAAGCAACGUCGAGUCUGGUCAGUACAUAGAUGGGUGACCGCUUCAGAACGCCAGGGGUUGUU